UUUUCACGUCGUGUCCAUGUAGAUGCCAUGUGGCUCACUGUCAGCCUGUUCACUAGUGAGGAGCUUUGUCUUCCCUGCCUCACAGUGCCAGCUCCCACAGCCUGCAGAGAGGUGUCUGUUCUCCCCAGAAGAGACCGUCUCUGGUGCAGCAGAGACAGAGUUUGAGCAUCUCACGUCAUGUGGCACAGGGGCAGCUCUGGGAUCACAGAAGCGACUGUGCGUUCUGCAGCUUGUAUCAUCUAGUGAAGGGCUGUAAAGUAAACUCUUAGACAUAAUCUGUAGAUAGCUUUCUUGCCCACUGUUGAGAAGACUGACCCAUCUUGGUCCGUGCCAAGGUGUUGCCAAACCUUGUAAUGCUUCUACCAGCUGUAAGAGAAGAUUCAGGAGCUGGUGUAGGACUCACUGCAUUGCCACCAGUUCCUACCAGAUUCUUUGUAACAGUCAACACCAUAAAAAUAGGUACCAUUAGACUAAAUUUUACAGCCAUCUCUUUCAAUAUUUUAGUUGAUGUUGCUAUUUAAGCACAGUACCAUGUUUUUUUUCUUUUUUUUAUUGAGGUGUGAGUGCCAUAAUACCGUAUUAGUUUCAGGUGUCCAUGUUUUUCUCAUACCAACUCCGUCUCAGGUUGCUGCCUCUUAUUUUCAAAAUAUUUUGUAUGAAUCAGGUACAGAAUUUUGUUUGGAAUUCAGUGUUAGGUAAACAAUUAAAUUACUCGUGGCAGAAGGCUUCCCUUUCUUCUGGCUGGCCCAGAGGACAAGAAGACUGUGUUGCUGGACCAGCAAGGGAAGAGCUGCUGUCUGUUGCAACAGACACCUUUGCCCGAGACAAAGGCGUGUUUGACUUCUACAAAACUCGAAGGGUCCGUUCUCUGUCCUGAUGAUGAAGUGUUCGUAAUGGUCUUGGAAAGAGGGUAUGUUAGUGAUCUGGCCUUAACAGGUUUGGAGCUACUUUAGAGCUGGGACAGGUGACUUAUAAAAGGCUGAUAAACAUUGUUUAUGUGAAGAAAUUCCUCUUCUAGCAAAAGUGUCUUACGAUUUUGUAUUCAAGCAAAUAAUAGGAAUCUAGGGAGAAUAUAUAUUGUGUUUUUCCCUAACGUAUGUUCUGUAGAACACUGCUCCACCGAGAUGGCCCACGUGAAAAGGGCUGGGUGGUCGUGGAAGUCUGGAAAGUGCUGCUCACUUGUCUUUCCACCUUGGAGAUGUACAGUAUACGUUAUGUUCAAAGCUGUGAGGAAUUUUAAGUUUAAAAACGAUUGUGAGAACUUUUCUGUGUGUGUGUGAGGAAGAUUGUCCCUGAGCUAACGUCUGUGCUGGUCUUCCUCUGUUUCGUAUGUGGGACACCGUCACAGAGCAGUGGGUCGGUCCACCCCUAGGACUCACACCUGCCAAUCCCGGGUGCUGAAGCAGAGUGCGAGAACCUAACCGCUAUGAACUUAAUGGGCCAGCCCUGUUAAAACUGUUUUUAACCUAAUAUUUUCCUGAUAGUUGUCCACUAAACCCCUUUUUAUAUAAUCCAUCUUAAUACUGGGGAAAUGGUUUCUCCAAAACACACCUUGACGUGAUAUAGUAAAAAAAUUUUUUUAAAACGGAAUUCAGAAAUUCCCUAAUGUUUAGUGCCCUCUGUUCCUUUGCAAAGCACUUUGUGCCAUACAGUAUUAGUCUAUAGCUUCACAGUGUUCCAUCCGAGCAGCUGAGGGGAGUCAUGUCCCAUUUUACAGUUAAGGAAACAGGCUCACUUUGUCAUGAUUUCCUAACGAGUUCCAGAAUUACGCAUAAUCCUUGGUGGAUGAUGACUGUGCUCUCAUCACUCACCGCCUGCCUGGACGCCUGGCUGUCUAAUUACCUGUAUUUAGUUUCUUCUACCUUUUGGGAGGAGGAAGGCGGAUGAGUGAAGAUGGCAUUUGUUCAUGGGAUUGGCAGGCAUGACAGAAUUUUCGUGAACAAAUAACCAGUCCCCUGGAGUGGGCCCAUCCAUCGUCGUCAGCUGUGUGAGAAGUAGCAGCCAGGUCAUUUUGAGGGCAGGUCUUGGAGUGAGUCUGGGAGGCAGGGCCACAGUUGUCCCCGUCUCUGCUGCCCCUUCUCCCUGAGAUAGCUGCGUGCAUGUAGCCAAGCAGGUGCCACGAAAGCCUGCGUCCUUGCUGUGUUGACACUUCCCUCCCAAUGGCCUGUUGUCCUGAAGAACUUGUCAGAGACCGAGAGAGAAUGAGGGCAUUCACAUUAGGUAGGGGGCUGUCCAUCUUCAGUGCUUUGUCCUGCUGUAGACAGCUGUGUGAACUGGUCAAGUCAGUUCUCUUUCCAUAUCUGUAAGAUGAUGCAGUCGGAUUAAAUUUGCAACAUUAAAUUCAGCCCUGAAUUACCUUACAAGUAGCAAUAAAAGGCAUAGCGUGAGACAGAAUGGAGAAAUGGGAUAAUUUUUUUUUUUUUAAGUUCUUUUAACAUCGGAUAUGACCCAAAGGUAAACAUCGCAAUACAUUGUGAAAUCAAAUAUUAAUUACCUUUCUUUCAAAACUGGUGUAGAUAGGCAAGGUUAGGCCACUUGAGAAUCCUUCUGUUGUGACUAUGAUACUUGGUAUGGAAAAGACCCACCGAUGUGUUCCCGGUGGCAGUCUCUGCUAUGUGUUUUUGGAAAAGUUGACAAAGAGUCUGCUUUGGCUUUGGGACUAAUGAAAAGCCUCCCAUAAACAGUUAGGUACAGCUGGUUGUUGACAGACCUGGAGCUGGAUCCAGGCCUCCUGCUCCCCACCCUGGAGUGGUAAUGCUCUGGCCCUCGUGGCACAGCUUGACGGGGAGUUCUCAGUGCGUCAGGACCAUCAGGGAUAAAUGCACGUCCAGAGCAUCAGUCAUCUCCUUCCUUAACAACAGCCGAAUGACCAGUUUCUGGAGAUAGUACUGUCUUCCAGAACUUAUCUGACUCUCAUGCCCAGUGUUGUACCCGUUUUUUCCUGCCUCCUCACACUGCUCCCCACAGCCCUUCCCCAUCUCCUGAACUCUCCUUGGGAUGUGGUGAGGAUACACCAUAGCUAUUACCUUAAUGCAUGCUUUCUUCAUUGGCCCAAAUUCAGAAUGUGUAAGGGAACUGAGUACACGUGGGAUGUCUCCACCCUUGGAAAGCCCCCCUUAGUCCUCACUGAGCCACACAGGUGAUGGAGGGAACAAGGGUACCUUUCUCACCACUGUGGGGCUUUGACAGCAGUAGUGAUGGCAUCCUUGGCUCUUAGAUUCCUGAACAUUUCACUUAAUGACCAGAGCCUUGGAAUGCCUCCAAGAGUGCCAGAGUGCCAGCUCCCACCCUGGUCUUAGAUAUUGAAGAGUCCCAGGUACUCCACCCACCUCUCACUUUGUGAACAUGGAUGCCCGUGUCACUGCCUGAGGAGUUAAGUCUGUAUGACACCCAGACCCCACAGUCACAUCACAUAAAUUAAGAAUCUUGCUGGGGCGCUAUCAUUGACAGUUUUAAAUCUCAGCUGGAGUAAAUUGUUAUUAACCUAUCUAGUUAUUGCUGAAAAUCGUAGUCAAACCCGUAGGUGAAAAGAGAAGGCUGUGGAUGCUGUCUUGCCAAAGAUCUCAGAGCUGAAUUGUUCAGAGCGAGGACCAGACUGGAACUGAUUCUGCUGCUACUGUGUUUUAGGUCAGACACUCAGGCCUGUUGGGUGAUUUGGGGCAGCUAACCCAGAUGUUGCCCCUGUGAAAGUCUCUGCAGCAACUACAUGGGCAUCUCUGUUUCACCCUGCUUCUUCGUCGUCCUUUUGCUUUGCAUCACAAAGGAAAAAAUCUACCCCUGUGUAGCCAGCGCUUCAAAUCCAACCCAAGCCAGAUCAUGAAGCAGACUGAGCUGUGACGGCACCCACUGGGAGAUCCUUCUGGAGCCGUGUCAGUGGACAUGCCCUAGACAGGAGAGAGGACCUGCCUGAGUUCCCUGACUGAGAAUGUUAAUUGACCCUCUAGGGCCUUUGUUCGCUGGUGCAUCCUGUGGCAUCUUCUCACCUUGUUAAGGGCCCCUUGAUGAGUAAAAUCAUGAGCCUUUUUGGGAAGUUUGGGUAUACUAAGCUCCCAAAUCCUCUGAGUUGUUAGGGAACCUGAGCCCUGAGUAAUCCAAGUCAGGUGUAUGCCUUUGGAGAAUAUACAUGUUUGAGCCUCGGUGUUUGUGAGAAAGUCAGAGAAGCAAGAGCAAGGAGGACAGACCUGCCAGGACGUGGGAAUAAGAAAUUGCAUGCGCUGUCGGGUUUUUGGAUAAUAAACUGAAUCUCUCUCCCUUAAGUCUAUAGGAGGCGUCAGUGUUUUGUGCAUAGACAUAAAAUAACUGGGUAGCUUAUUUAAGUGAUUAGCCAAAGGGGUGUGUGUUUCAAAAGUUAAAGUCACACGCACACUAAAAUUAUAUACACAUACUUACCUGACUUCUUACGUAUUUAUAUUUGGUCAAAUCUGUUCUCAAUUUCUUAAAAUAUAAAUUACCUUUAUUAGUUUGAUAGAAAAGUUGGAUUCUUUACAUUGUUUGGAACUAUGUUAUCCGAGUUGAUGGAAUACAUCAAAAUAAAUGUUUGUAUUAGUGAGUUACCAGUGUGAAGAUUAGAGGCGAUAACUAUGUACAGAAACUGAAUUCAGGAGUUACUUUCAGGUAGCUUCAUUGCUCUGGUAUGUUUCCAUUCAGACCCGUGACGUGGUCUGGACUUCUGCUACCUGAAAAUGUAUUUUGUAGUUUUAUUACUGUUUUAAAACAAACAAAAAAAUAGUUUUUAUCUUGGACUCUCAAAAAUCUGUCAUUCUGCCUUUCUUAAAAAUACUACUUUCAUCAAAAGCUAUAUUUCACACCGUAGCUAAUUUUGUUUUUGGUAGAUUGUUAGUGAGUUAUUCUAAUGAGUUGUAUACAUUAGAUACUAAGAAAAGCAGCAAGGAAUCCCACUUUAACCCCACUGUUGUCAAAAUACUGUGUCAAAUUCUAUUUAAAUGCUUUUUUCAUAUUUCAGAAUGCUAUUCCUUAUGCAGCUUUGUAUUUCUGUUCUUUUAGACAAUACGUAACCUGCCAACACAUUCUUUUCUUAAAAAGUUAACACCAUAGAGAAGACUAUAUUUAAAAAAUUUCCACUUAAUGUGGCUACAGUAAAUAGUAAGGAACAUGAGAGCCUUUUGUCAAGAUUGUGUUACGAUUGUGUUAGGAUGAUUGGUAUUUGCUCUAAAUAAGAAAAAGGUUUCAAUGGAUUAAAGAAGUAUUUAACUGAGUUCAAGAAAACUCCGUCUUGUGAUUCUUUUGGAAAGCAACUUCUGUACGGUGUUGG
ensembl:lncRNA